rnacentral:rRNA from 1 species
UACGUAGGGGGCUAGCGUUGUCCGGAAUCAUUGGGCGUAAAGAGCGUGUAGCGGCCCGGUAAGUCCGCUGUAAAAGUCAAAGGCUCAACCUUUGAAAUGUCAGUGGAUACUGCCGGGCUAGAGUCCGGAAGAGGCGAGUGGAACUCCUGGUGUAGCGGUGGAAUGCGCAGAUAUCAGGAAGAACACCAACGGCGAAGGCAGCUCGCUGGGACGGUACUGACGCUGAGACGCGAAAGCGUGGGGAGCGAACAGG